UACGGGGGGGGGCAAGCGUUUGUUCGGAAUUACUGGGCGUAAAGGGCUCGUAGGUGGCCAACUAAGUCAGACGUGAAAUCCCUCGGCUUAACCGGGGAACUGCGUCUGAUACUGGAUGGCUUGAGUUCGGGAGAGGGAUGCGGAAUUCCAGGUGUAGCGGUGAAAUGCGUAGAUAUCAGGAAGAACACCCGUGGCGAAGGCGGCUCUCUGGGACGGUACUGACGCUGAGACGCGAAAAGCGUGGGGGAGCGAACAGG
rnacentral:rRNA from 1 species